CUGAAGAUACUAGGGUUUUGAGACUGCGUCUAAAGCGGACGCGUGCUCGACUCUUACUCUUUAUCCACACACACCUCUGUGCACUAUGGGAUGCAAAAUCCCCUUUUCACAUAAAACCGAGUUAUAUGCAUGUCUAUUUUAUGCUCUACGGAGUAAUAUA
rnacentral:misc_RNA from 1 species